rnacentral:antisense_RNA from 1 species
CUUCACCGAACCCAGCCACAACGGCCGGUCCCGGUCCUGCCCGUAGGUGGCCAGGACGGCUUGGGCCUC